UGACAUGAUGAAUUAAUUUGCGAUUGAGGAUGUAUAUACCUGGGACACGCCUAGUCCCACACACUAAGGGUUUAUACAGAGCAUGCGAAUAUUUUACUAUUCUGAUAUUU
rnacentral:sRNA from 1 species